GGUUUCGUGGUGUAGUGCUUAUCACGUUCGCUUUACACGCGAAAGGUCCCCGGUUCGAUCCCGGGCGGAACCA
rnacentral:tRNA from 1 species